GUAAAUAAAGUCUUAUUAGAGAUGACAAAUUGGAUAUGAACAUUUCAUAUUUUAAUGAAUAAAUAAAGACAAAUAUCAUACAAGUACAAGGCACUGAUAUACGCAUUUGAAAGUUCAAGGUUAAUUUAGUUUCCAAGAUUGAGGAUGUAAGAUGCUGCAUCACCUUACUGAAUAUAGUCAUUUGUACCAUUGUGUAGGGUUUCCUUUAAAGUGGUGAAUCUUUCUUCUAUUUAUCUAUACUUCUUUGAUUUUCCUCUCAUCUUGCCACCUGCUGCACACUGUACUUUCUUUGCCUCGUAAGCUGCUUGCUCUUUCUUGAACACAUUGACAAUUUAAAAUAUGUUUGGAUGUGCUGUUUUGGCUCUCUUUUUGAGCUUGUUAUGCCAGCCCUCUAAAUGCUUAUUUGUCCUGGGUCCUUCUGUCUGGUGGUGGUUCCAGGUUGGUUGUGGGUAUCUGCCCUCUCUUCAUAUCACAAUUAUACUUUAACUUGGUGCAGGCAUUAGUCUGUGGUGCGUUUUCCAAGGUGUGUAUUUUUGGUUAAGUAUUUGGUAAAUGUGAUUG
rnacentral:lncRNA from 1 species